rnacentral:rRNA from 1 species
UGAGAAACAUGACCUUCGGCGGGGGGUAGGCCGGCCCAACGGCCGGGUAAUACCGCGUACGACCACAUGGGGACAUCCCUGAGUGGUGAAAGCAGCAAUGCGCCGAUGGAGUGCCUCGCGGCCUAUCAGCUAGUUGGUGAGGUAACGGCUCACCAAGGCGACGACGGGUAGCUGGUCUGAGAGGAUGGCCAGCCACAUUGGGACUGAGACACGGCCCAGACCUCCGUAGGGAGG